UACGUAGGGUGCAAGCGUUGUCCGGAAUUAUUGGGCGUAAAGAGCUCGUAGGCGGUCUGUCGCGUCUGCUGUGAAAAUCCAGGGCUCAACCCUGGACCUGCAGUGGGUACGGGCAGACUAGAGUGCGGUAGGGGAGAUCGGAAUUCCUGGUGUAGCGGUGAAAUGCGCAGAUAUCAGGAGGAACACCGGUGGCGAAGGCGGAUCGCUGGGCCGUAACUGACGCUGAGGAGCGAAAGCAUGGGGAGCGAACAGG
rnacentral:rRNA from 1 species